GGUUAACGCUGGCGGCGUGCCUAACACAUGCAAGUCGAACGGUUCUAAGCGCGAGCUUAGGAUAGUGGCGAACGGGUGAGUAAAAGGUAGGAAUCUACCCCUUGGACGGAGAUAGCUACUGGAAACGGUAGGUAAACUUCGAUAAGCCCGUGAGGGGAAAGUGGUGAGACAGCCGAGGGAUGAGCCUACUCUCCAUCAGGUAGUUGGUGAGAUAAAAGCUUACCAAGCCGAUGACGGAUAACCGGUGUGAGAGCAUGAACGGUCACAAGGGCACUGAGAGACGGGCCCUACUCCUACGGGAGGCAGCAGUGGGGAAUCUUGGACAAUGGGCGAAAGCCUGAUCCAGCGACGCCGCGUGGAGGAAGAAGUCCUUCGGGAUGUAAACUUCUGAACUAGCCGAAUAAAAGGCCUGUGGACACACAGGAGAAGAAAGUAGGCUAGGAAAAGUCCCGGCUAACUACGUG
rnacentral:rRNA from 1 species